AGUGAACGCUGGCGGUAGGCCUAACACAUGCAAGUCGAACGGCAGCACAGUAAGAGCUUGCUCUUACGGGUGGCGAGUGGCGGACGGGUGAGGAAUACAUCGGAAUCUACUUUUUCGUGGGGGAGAACGUAGGGAAACUUACGCUAAUACCGCAUACGACCUACGGGUGAAAGCAGGGGAUCUUCGGACCUCGCGCGAUUGAAUGAGCCGAUGUCGGAUUAGCUAGUUGGCGGGGUAAAGGCCCACCAAGGCGACGAUCCGUAGCUGGUCUGAGAGGAUGAUCAGCCACACUGGAACUGAGACACGGUCCAGACUCCUACGGGAGGCAGCAGUGGGGAAUAUUGGACAAUGGGCGCAAGCCUGAUCCAGCCAUACCGCGUGGGUGAAGAAGGCCUUCGGGUUGUAAAGCCCUUUUGUUGGGAAAGAAAAGCAGCAGGUUAAUACCCCGCUGUUCUGACGGUACCCAAAGAAUAAGCACCGGCUAACUUCGUG
rnacentral:rRNA from 1 species